UGUAACUAAUAAGGUAACUAGUAAUCUAACGGGUACUCUCAAGAUUGAGUCCUCAGCAAAGUAACUAACAGUGCAUCUUAAAAAUAUCCA